AAAACUCCCCCGCUCUUUGGGGGCAUGUCCAAAAGGUGCAGCCCACUUCUCCUGUGUGACUGGGGGGUGUUUCAAGAAUCUGUUAAAUGCAGAGAAUGUUUGGAAUUUCUCUUACAGAAAAGUAGAGAAUUGAAAAAUACAUUUAAAUAGAGACCUGGACUUCUGGCAGGACAGUCAGGCAGAUGAACUCCAACAUGAUUUUGUCAUUUGUACAGAAUUAUGCUGUAAAUGAUCCGGGUAAAAAUCCUAGAUCUGGAGUUCUAGAAUGAAUGUUUUUAAGCCAUCGAUUGUACAUUGUUAACAUGAUGCAGCCCUACCUCGACACAGAUGAUUGAUCACUCAGUUGAUCAACUGUUUUUUGGGCAAAACGGACUGUUAUCAACGUCACAUUUGUGUGCACUAACGACUGUAUUUGUUUUUUGCAGCACUGAUGUACGGCUUCCUCGUUGGGUAACGCACACUCUCAGGGAGGCGUUCUCCAGGUAGGCAGACUGCGUUUAAGCAACAAUGAUUUUCUAAAGUAUUCCACACCCUGUGCCUAUGAGCUUGAAGGUUAUACUCAUUCAGCAGCAAUGUUUUUCCCUUUUACUACAACAACAUAGAUUUCCCCAGACUCCCUGGAUCGUUUCACAACAAUAUUAACUCUUGUUGGUGACAGACCUGAUUUUUCUCCAACCUUUUUCUAACAAACACUUUUUUUAUCUCUAAAUAAAUUUCUGAAGUCGAACAUAAAGUUCCAAAACAUUUUUACUUAAGGCCGAGUCUUGAGCAACUAGUCAAACUAAUAAGGUGAUUACUGAAUGUUAUUAUUAUGACAUUUUUAAUCCCUUAAAACAACUUUUGGGAGUUUGUUGCAGUCUUUUGGUUCUUCAUUUGUUUAUGUUAAAUAGACAGAAUUAUGAUGGUCAGUGGUCAGUUUUUUUGAUUUGAGGGUUUCGUGCACUUUAAGAAGUGUACCAACUUUCUGGAAAUAGGAUUUGUAUUGUAUUCAACAGUCACACAAACAACCAAAUGACUGUCCUCUUCAUUUGCACUGUUGGCUGUUGUAGGUUUGGGCUCAUGCCACAUGAAGAGCUGUUACAUCCAUGAGCGGUAGAAAAGGGCGAAGUUUCCUCCCAGAUCCAAUCCAACAAGUGGCCAGGCCUAAAUGUCAACCCGGGGGUCCUCAACCUGCGGCUCCACUACCACAUAAGAUAGAGAUCGGCUCCUCUCGUACCUUGCUCUCUGGGACGCCAGCUCCGACAACCAGCACCAGACCACAGCCACUAUUACAAUCAUUCCUAUGAAGGGGAUGGAGAGAACAGGGUGCUCAGAUGGAUGGAUGAAUCUCUGAGGAGGGAAAAAGAACAAACACACGGGACGUGGAGAUGAAGGGAACAGAUGAACUGAUGGAUUAAAACUGGAGACUUCACGGACAGUCGGAGAACACGGACAUGAGCAGAGGCACGGGCAGACAGUUUGACAAAACGCUGAGAGACAUUCACAACAGGGCUGUUGUAGACGAAACACAGUGUGUUGGCCUUUUUCUCUACAUAUACAACCUGAUUUAGCAACAGAAGAAGGAGAAUUUUCAUCACAGUAUUUUUCCAAAAAACUAGGUUUUGAAAAUAUGGGGAAAUUAAGAUUCGGGUGAAAAACAAAUCAGGAUGCAAAAUGCAACCAUGCUUUUAUGAGACGGUCAAUUCGAUGUAAUGAGGAUUUCUAUAAACUCGGGCCGGUUGUUAAACUUUAACUGCAAUCCAGCACCUUAUAAAAUAAAUAUACAAAGAAUUUUGUGUGCCUGCAGAGAAGCCAGCAGAAAACACUGUACAGAAUCUUAAAAAAAAUAAACAUUGUUUUUGUGUGUUUGUCCAACAACAGUUCCAGGGCAUCACUGUCACACAGAGGCUUGGACACAGACACAGUCAGGCAAGGAUUCACCACUUCAGGCCACACAAUAAUUUCUGAUAUGUGCUGACAGGUCCUGUCAGUUCAUAUCAAACACACACACAUAUAUAUAUAUACUGUAUAUAUAUUCUCCUCACAAUGAGAGACAUAUAAAGAGGUGCUCGACACACAGGAGAUACAGCAGGUGUGAUGUCGGGUGUUGUUAUGUGUUAGUUGAGGACAUGAGCAGAAACAAAGCUGGAAAUAGCCAAAAGUUUAGCAAAUUUCUUUUUCAGUCCUAAUGAUUGUAGCUACUUAAAACCUCAGUGGUGUAUCUUUUAGAUAACUUUUUUUUUUU